AUGAACGCCCGCCUCGUGGCCGCCGACACGCUACAGAAAGGGGUCAUGCUGCUCGGCCUCGUGGCGUGGGCGGCGUGGUCAUCCCUCCGCCGCCGCGGGACAUCCGCCGGCAACGGCAAGGUUGCGGCCUCGCCGCUGCAGUGGGUGGUGACCGCCUUCUCCAUGACGCAGCUGCCCAGCACCAUCAUCAUGGGCGUGCCGAUCCUCGGCGCCCUGUACGGGCCCACGUCCAAGGACCUCAUGAAACAGAUCGUCGUGAUGCAGCUCUGCGUUUGGUACAACGUCAUCAUCUUCAUGUACGAGUACAUGGCGGCCAUGGAUGGCAGCAACAAGGUCGGCCCCGCCCCAGCGUCGCCGGAGAACGUUGGGAGCACGGAGGUCGCGGCCGCACAACCAGGCAUGGCCGUGGCCAGCCAGACAACGUCGACGGCGGUCGUGGGAGAGGUGACUCCGACUCAUGGUGCAGAUGCCGAGGUCGCGCAGGCAGAGGAUCUGGCGCUGCCGGCACCUCCAUCGAUGAGCCAUGUCGCUUUUGUGACAGGGAAAAAGGUUCUCAAGAUCCCAAACACAUAUGCUGCCUUCCUUGGCCUCUUUUGGGCUCUAAUCGCAUUCAAGUAA
rnacentral:rRNA from 1 species